rnacentral:rRNA from 1 species
AUUGAACGCUGGCGGCAUGCCUUACACAUGCAAGUCGAGCGGCAGCGCGGGGGCAACCCUGGCGGCGAGCGGCGAACGGGUGAGUAAUGCAUCGGAACGUGUCCUCUUGUGGGGGAUAACCAGUCGAAAGACUGGCUAAUACCGCAUGAGCACGAGAGUGGAAAGCGGGGGACCGCAAGGCCUCGCGCGAGAGGAGCGGCCGAUGCCGGAUUAGCUGGUUGGCGGGGUAACGGCCCACCAAGGCGACGAUCCGUAGCUGGUCUGAGAGGACGACCAGCCACACUGGGACUGAGACACGGCCCAGACUCCUACGGGAGGCAGCAGUGGGGAAUUUUGGACAAUGGGGGCAACCCAGAUCCAGCCAUGCCGCGUGUGUGAAGAAGGCCUUCGGGUUGUAAAGCACUUUCGGACGGAACGAAAUCGCGCGGGCGAAUAUCCCGCGUGGAUGACGGUACCGUAAGAAGAAGCACCGGCUAACUACGUGCCAGCCGCCGCCGUAA